rnacentral:rRNA from 1 species
GAUGGGUCCGCGUCCGAUUAGCUGGUUGGUAGGGUAAUGGCCUACCAAGGCGACGAUCGGUAGCUGGUCUGAGAGGACGGUCAGCCACACUGGGAUUGAGAACGGCCCAGACUCCUACGGGAGGCAGCAGUGAGGAAUUUUCGGCAAUGGGCGCAAGCCUGACCGAGCAGCGCCGCGUGCAGGAGGAAGCGCUUCGGCGCGUAAACUGCUUUUCUGCGGGACGAAUAAGGACGGUACCGCAGGAAGAAGCCCCGGCUAACUACGUGCCAGCAGCCGCGGUAAGACGUAGGGGGCGAGCGUUGUCCGGAAUUAUUGGGCGUAAAGGGCACGCAGGCGGUUUGUCAAGUUCGAGAUAACAGUCACCAGCUUCACUGGUGAAGGGCCUCGAAAACUGAUAGACUCGAGGGCCAGAGAGGGACCUGGAAUUCCGGGUGGAGCAGUGAAAUGCGUAGAGAUCCGGAGG